GCGGCGGGGCGCGAUCUGGUGGCGCCGGCCUGGGGGCGGUGGGGCCGGGGGCUGUGUGGUGGCAUCGCGCCCCGAGAGCUCCUCCCGCAGCGAAGGGCACCAGAAGGGAAUUUCUCUCCAACCAAGUUAGCGUACCAUCAAGAGGACAAUAGAAGCACCGGCAGGUUUUGUGAGCAGCAUGCCUGCCCGUCGCUGUCAGCCCUGCGUUACGCUUUGAAAUCCUCUAGGAGGAAGGUGGUAAAAGGGUUUUCAUCUGUAAAAUGGGAACACAGACUGAGGGUGAUGGCACUGCCACUCUCCUCCCCGCAGCAGUGGGGCCGCGGGGGCUGCCCCCCAACCUCAGGCUGCACAGCUCGCUGAGGUGAAGGGAAACAGUCUGGCCAAGUAUGCUGAUGGACUCGGGGUUGUUGUCUGGUAGGUGCUUAAUUACAGCACACUGUCAUCGGGCAGAAAACAAGUUCGCUUCACCAGAAGCCAGCCGGGUUGUGCCCACAGUGCAGCACUGUGUUUGGGAAGAACCCAUGGAUUCCUAUGGCUGCCCAGGCACGCCAAGGAGUGAGUACGUGUGUCAUGUGUGUGAGUUUGGUCAAUGACACUGUUCUGUUGGAGUAUACACAAGUGUAUGAUUUGCAAAACUAAGCAAAGAUGCAGUCCUUGUGAUCUGAGUGCACCUCAACGCUGAGAGUAAUGGUACAGCAUGAAAAGAGUGCUGCAGAUGAGGAGGCACCAUUAGGACAGGGGCUGUGACUUUGUCGGGUCACUGAGCAGAGCCAUGCAUGUCUUUGUGGUUCCACGAUUUUGCUGCAAACGUAGCACAGCUUCUGUUUGGAAACAAGCAAGAAGCAGGCACAGCUCCAACCCUGCAAAGAAGGUUGCUGUGUGGAAGAUGCCUUGAGGUUGUUCACAUGCUUAAAGUAUUUGAUAGGACUUUUUGAACUAUACUAAAACUGCUGUCAAGCAUCAGAGGUUAAAUGUGCUGGGUAAUGAAACAUUUUUCCUCUGCUUUUUCAGUUGUGAGGGCAGCCUUAAAGACUGUUACACUCUGCUCAUAUGGCCAAGUUUCUCCAGGCUUGCAAAGGGAGGAAGACCUUUCUGCAUUCUCAGAAGAGCCACUAGAAAGGAAUGGCAUUAUGAAAGUUCUUUACUGGGGCCUCCUCAGUGCCUCUGAACGGAAAGGCUCCAGUUUUACAGGAGAAGAGAGAAGAUUUGUUUCCAUUCUUAAGGUCCCACUGAAAACAUGUGGUGGAAAUGUGCACUGAGAUAAACUCAUAUGGCCUGUCCACAGCAGUUACGACAAAUUUGUGCUGUUUUUGCAACAGUCAGCAUAUCGGAGGUGGUUCAGAUAAAAUUAAUCCACUAGUCACAAUAGAACUUAGACUUUUUGUGCAAGGCAAGGAAGUAAGGAGAAUCAAAUGUGGUAGGCAGGAUUGCUCUAAAGAUCUGGAAUCCCCCAAAGCUUGUGUGAUGUACUUGUAUGAUACUUAACUGUAGAGCUUAGGGGCUAAUUCAUAUGUUUAGCAUAAUUACAUGCUUAAGUGCUUUGCCAGAUUCAGGAAUAAAUAAGUUGGGAUUGUAACA
ensembl:lncRNA